CAUUUACAUACACACUCACUUGCACUCCCCAACAACACUUCCUUUGAAAAACAGAAUGUCACUUCCUCAAUCCAGAGGCCAGAAGUCCCUUGGUUCUGAUCUGGGGAGCCAAGACAGGAAACUCUGAACCUCCAAGCAUGGUGCCAGGCACAAAAUAGAUGUUCAGUAAACGUUUGAGAAUGAAGGAACCAACCCUUAAAGGACGACAAGUGAGGUUGUGGACCCUUGGGGCAUCCAGAACUCUGGAUCAUCCACACCAGUAUCUGAGAGGGCACCUGGGAUCAAGAAACUUGAAAAGCAAAGAAGCCAUCACCCUCCUACUGCACGUUAUUUAUCAGGAAUUCCUCAUCUAAAUAAUUUCCUGACCAACAAAUAUUCUGAAAUAAUAUGUAAGUGUGAUAAAAAGAUAACAGGAGGAAGAACAACCACUAUGGGCUAUAAGAUGACAGGAAGGAGGCACUGGAGAUGUCAAGCCCUUCUAACGUUGCGACUGGUGUCACAGGGUGCUUGGGUAGCAGCUGAGUGGACGGCACAGGGAAGCAUUCCUCGACCAAGAGAAAGACCUGCUUUCAGGAUACACUGCCUGGUGAACACCCUAGUGGGGUGCAGCCCUUCCGGGAAGGACAGACUGUCCCAACCGAGCAGUUAUAGAGUCUAUUAUGGAGAAGAGAUGGCUGAGGAGAAGGAAGUGUGAGGUGGUUUCUCAUUUAUUAUAUUUGCAUGCCAUGGAGAAGCAGGUUCUGUUACUAUCAGGUUACAAUCAAGAUUUCUCCAAGGAUUAAAAAAAAAGCUCUCUCUUGGGUUUCCCUGUUGGCUCAGUGGUAAAGAAUCCGCCUGCCAAUGCAGAAGAUCGGGGUUCAAUACUUGAUCUGGGAAGAUCCCCCAGGCCUCGGAGC